AUGGACUACGAGCGCAUCGAGAAACCGUCGUUCCCCACGCAGGGCGGGGGCUUCUCGCCGAAGCGGCUGCGCGCGAUGCUGCUGGGCGUGGAGAGGCGCCGCAAGGACGCCGGCGCCGGGGACGACGACGGGGAGCCGGAGCAGGAGGAGGAGUACGGCGCGGUGCCCAUGGCCUCCGUCAGAUCCGACGACGACGCGCGCAGAGGAGGUGGCAUGUGCGAAGAAUACAAGGACGUGGACGUGGUGAGCACCAUGUCAGGAUCUUCGUCCUCGCUGGACACCGGGAGCGGGCAACGGUCGCGAGACUCCCACUCCAUGGGCUCGAGGUUCAGGGUGCCCGAGGAGGACUCGUGCGACUCCGAGAGUGUGGCGUCCAACUUCGAGUUCCACAAGGAGCGAGGGGCCUCUGCUCGGUCUGCGCCCACGGCGGUGGUCGCGCCGUUCUCCAAGCCCCCGCCGUCGAAGUGGGAUGAUGCCCAGAAAUGGAUCGCCAGCCCGACGACGAACCGUCCCGGUAGGGCUGGUGGAGCUUUCCCAAGGAAGAUGGAGAAAACUGGCUUUGGUGGAGGGAGGCUGCCGGCAACAAAGGUUGUGCUGGAGGCCAUGGAGGAAAUAGACACCAAGAGGAUCGAUCCGAGCCAAGAGAAGAGGGAGAUUGGGUGGCAGAAAGCGGCGAACUGGGCCACGCCGGAGCCCUAUCCAGAAGUGGAGCCUUGCACAAAGUCUGCACCUGGUGCAGAAAGUACUAUAAUUGAUUCAGCUGUUACUUUGAGCUGUGAUUCAUCUACCACGCUUCAGAGUGCCACUGCAUGCAUACCUCCCCCACCAACAGUCCGGUCAGUAUCGAUGAGGGAUAUGGGUACUGAAAUGACCCCAAUUGCAAGCCAAGAACCAUCCCGGACAGGAACACCUGUCAGAGCAACAAGCCCGGAUUGCUCUCGGCCAACUACUCCACGAAGGACAUUGGGUAUCAAUGCAGUUGGCGCUGCUAUCAACCGCGGUGAAUGUAGCAAUGCAGAUUUAAGUGAAGAGGAGUUGCAAAUGAAGACUAGGAGAGAGAUAAUGCUUCUUGGCACCCAGCUUGGUAAAACCAGCAUCGCGGCAUGGGCAAGUAAGAAGGAAGAGGAAAAGGAUGCAUCGCUUUCUCUCAAGACAGUGUCAUCAGACCAAUCUGCACAAAAUGCAACCGAAGUCCGUGCAGCUGCCUGGGAGGAGGCAGAGAAGGCCAAAUACUUAGCAAGGUUUAAACGAGAAGAGAUCAAGAUUCAUGCAUGGGAAGAUCACCAGAAAGCCAAAAUCGAAGCAGAAAUGAGAAAAAUUGAGGUCGAGGUGGAGAGGAUGCGAGCCCGUGCGCAAGACAAGUUGAUGAGCAAGCUCGCGUCCACGAGGCACACCGCGGACGAGCAGCGAGCUGCCGCAGAGUCGAAGAGGGACCGCAGCGCCGCGAGGACGGCGGAGCAGGCAGAGCACAUCAGGAGAACCGGGAGGAUGCCGCCCUCGCUGGGCUGCUGGAACUGGUGCUCGUAG
rnacentral:rRNA from 1 species